rnacentral:rRNA from 1 species
UACGUAGGGGGCUAGCGUUGUCCGGAAUCAUUGGGCGUAAAGAGCGUGUAGGCGGCCCGGUAAGUCCGCUCUGAAAGUCCAGGGCUCAACCCUGGGAUGCGGGUGGAUACUGUCGGGCUCGAGUCCGGAAGAGGCGAGUGGAAUUCCCGGUGUAGCGGUGAAAUGCGCAGAUAUCGGGAGGAACACCAAUGGCGAAGGCAGCUCGCUGGGACGUGACUGACGCUGAGACGCGAAAGCGUGGGGAGCAAACAGG